GACGAACGCUGGCGGCGUGCUUAACACAUGCAAGUCGAACGGGAUCCGGGCUUUCGGGUUUGGUGAGAGUGGCGAACGGGUGAGUAACACGUGAGUAACCUGCCCCCUUCUUUGGGUUAACGUCGGGAAAUCGGCGCUCAUACUGGAUAUUCUUGCUUCAUCGCAUGGUGUGGUUUGGAAAGGUUUUCUGGUGGGGGAUGGGCUCGCGGCCUAUCAGCUUGUUGGUGGGGUGAUGGCCUACCAAGGCUUUGACGGGUAGCCGGCCUGAGAGGGUGUCCGGCGACACGGGGACUGAGACACGGCCCAGACUCCUACGGGAGGCAGCAAAGGGGAAUAUUGGACAAUAGGCGCAAGCCUGAUGAAGCGACGCCGCGUGAGGGAUGACGGCCUUCGGGUAGUAAACCCCUUUCAGUAUGGAACAAGGAUCCUUCUUUUGGGGGGUUUGAGGGUACGUGCAGAAGAAGCGCCGGCUAACUACGUG
rnacentral:rRNA from 1 species